CAUCCAAUUUAUGCCAUGGUAAUCGAUCAUCUAACCAGACCUCAGGUUAAGAAGCCCCACUUACUUCAGCCUGACAGGCCCACAUUCUAUUCUAGACCUCUCUUUACUUUGGGCAAAUAGCUUCCCUCUCCUGGAUUUAAACAGACAGGCUACCCCCAGAAGUUCUUUCAGUGAUUCAGGGAGCAAGGCCCAGGUGAAGAACAUUUACCCAGGCAGGCCUGGUACCUUGUUUGCAAUUAUCUAUCCUAGAGACGUGCCUCAGGGUCCACAACCAUUAUGUGAUCUUGAACCAAGGCCUUCCUGAUGAAUGUCAAUUCUCUACACUACCAGAUGCCUCCUCUCUGUUAAUACCUGACAUUUCUGUUAUGUAUUCAUGGUUUUGCAAAGGCCUCUACUUACCUUUGAUACCACUACCCCAUGAGCCUGCUCAUGCCCUGCCCUCUGGAUGGCUUAAAACUUAGGUCUUCUGAACAGCAUGGCUGGAAGAAUAGUGAUGUUGAAGAGGUAUACAAUUGGGGGAAGGCAAGGAGAAGACUCCCUACUCAGUGCCUGGAGGAGGGGACACUGUGCCCUGGGGAUGACUGCCCCAGAAGGUGAGCCAGGAAAUGCUUGAGCCAUCCCUGAGGGGUGGCUGGGGAAAGUCUCACUUGGCCUGGUGGCUGGGCUGAUCAUCAGGGAACCCAGGAGGGCGCUAGGUUCUGGCUCACUGGCUUUGUAAAUGUGAGAGGGCCAUCCCAUACUUCAGUCCUUCAUUUGCCUCGUCCAUAAAAUGGGAAAAAUACCUCACCAAAAGAGCGUACUCGUGCGAAACUUAGUUUCCCAGUCUUUGCUCCUGGAGUCUAGUGAUGCCUGGCAGUCAGAGGGGACCUCAGAAUUUAGAACCUUAUGAGAACAUUAUCAGAAGGAGCCUUAGAAAACAGGCCCAACAAAUCAAGAAUUAAUAGGUAAAUGGGCAACUGGGUAGCUCAGUGGAUAGAGAACCAGGCCUAGAGACAGGAGGUCCUGGGUUCAAAUAUGACCUCUUUGGCCUUAGACACUUCCCAGCUGUGUGACCCUGGGCAAGUCACUUAACCCCCAUUGCCUAGCUCUUGCUGCUCUUCUGCCUUGGAGCCAAUACACAGUAUUGACUCCAAAACAGAAGGUAAGAGUUUAAAAAAAUAAUAAUUAAUAGAUAACUAGCUGUAUGACCCUGGGCAAGUCACUUCAUCCGAAUUGCCUAGCACUUCCUGUUCUUCUGCCUUGGUACUGAUCCUUAGUAUCAAUUCUGAGACUGAAGGUAAGUUUUUUAAAAAAAAAAAAAGAUUCAACAGGUAUAAUGGCCCUGGACACAUUGUGGUCACUCUAACAGAGGCCAUUUAGUCCAGGCCCCUCAUUCUACAGAUUCUUUCAUUCAUGCAUGUAACAAUCAUUAGGUAUCUUCACAGUGGCAGGCUCUAUGCUAAAAAGUGAGGAUAUGAAGACCAAAGAGUUCCUAUUAACCCUCUCAAAGCAAACCGAGGGAAAAAAAGGAAGAAUGCAGGCAUGGAGGACAGAACCCUGGGCUAGAAGUCAGGUAGACCUGAGUUCUUGUCCUGGCUAGCCUCUACCUGUUUAAUUCCUAACCAUCCUUUAAAAUCUAAUUAAAAUACUGCCUCCUCUAAGCAGCCCGCUUGUCGGUCUCUCCAGCGGGUAAAACCCUGCUUUGCAUGUAUCUCCAUAUGCACAAAGCUAUCCAAAGUCGAGACCCCACCCCCUCUGCUACCGAACUGCAUGUGGCAUGCGUGUGUGAUAUAAUCAUUAAUAUGAUUUACAUGGCAGCACUCUUCUAUGCUUACUUGAUUGACAUCGAGCUUUGCUCUUGCCCGAAGUACUAAAUAUAAUGUCACACAACUGCAAAUUUGAGUAAGAGAGUCGCGCCUGUGUGCGCUCUAGGAGGAUAGUGGCUGGUCCAGCACUCUGAGUACUUCUGGGCAGAAGCACAGCCGCGUCUUCUCAUCCGGUGCAUGGCACAGAGUCACAUCCAUCAUAUACCCGAAGUCCAUUAGAGCCAGAAGGAAUAUCAGGUCAUUUAGUCCAGGCCCCUCACUUCAGAGAUUCUAAAAAGUGAGGAUACAAAGACCAAAGAUCCCCCGCCCUCAUGGAGCUUGAAUUCUAUCACACAAAAACAAUGUAUUGAAGAAAGGGGUACACACAAAAAUAUUUACAGAGUAAUUUUUGGGUGGCAGGCCAAUAAUUUUGGGGUGGGAGGGUGUAAUCAGGGCAGGAUUCCUAGAAGAGGUAGCAUUUGAACUGGGAUCUAGAAGAAGUGAGAGAUUUUAAGAAUCAGAGGUGAAGAAUAAGUAUACUCAAAGCAUGAGGGUCACUAUGCAAAGAUAGAUAAUAUAUAGAUGAGAGGAGGGAAGAAACAUUUAUUGAAUGCCUAUUGUGUGCCAGGCCCUUUAUAGAUAUUAUCUUGGGUGCACAGUAGAUAGAGUGCCAGACCUGGAGUCAGGAGGAUUUGGGUUCAAAUUUGGCCUCAGACACUUCCUAGCUGUAUGUCCCUGGGAAAGUCACUUAACCCCUGAUUGCUUAGCCCUAGCUGUACUUCUGUCUUAAAACUGAUACUAAAAUAAAAGAUAAUGGUUUAAAAAUAUAUAUAUAUAG
rnacentral:lncRNA from 1 species